CAGUAGCCACGGUAAAACGGGGGGGCAAGUGUUAUUCGGAAUGACUGGGCGUAAAGGGCACGUAGGCGGUGAAAAGGGUGGAAAGUGAAAGUCGCCAAAACACUGGCGGGGUGCUUUCUUGACCAUUUCACUUGAGUGAGAUAGGGGAGAGUGGAAUUUCGUGUGGAGGGAUCAAAUCCUAAGAUAUACGAAGGAACGCCAACCGCGAAGGCAGCUCUCUGGGUCCCCACUGACGCUGGGGUGCGAAAGCAUGGGGAGCAAACAGGAUCAGAUACCCCGGUAGUCCCUGUCUCUUAUACAC
rnacentral:rRNA from 1 species